rnacentral:rRNA from 1 species
UACGUAGGGUGCAAGCGUUGUCCGGAAUUAUUGGGCGUAAAGAGCUCGUAGGCGGUUUGUUGCGUCGGCUGUGAAAACCUGAGGCUCAACCUCAGGCCUGCAGUCGAUACGAGCAGACUAGAGUGUUGCAGGGGAGACUGGAAUUCCUGGUGUAGCGGUGAAAUGCGCAGAUAUCAGGAGGAACACCGGUGGCGAAGGCGGGUCUCUGGGCCACUACUGACGCUGAGGAGCGAAAGCGUGGGGAGCAGACAGG